CCGUCGCAACUAGAGAACAACUACGAGCCUAAUAAGAGAAUUAAAUCUAUUUUCUCAUAAAAAAAACCCUAGCCUAUUUCUCUCAAUCCCUGUUCUCUACCGCAUCCCUCUUUCUCUUUCUCUCUGUUGUCGAUCUCUCUGAAGCAGAUCGGAUCGGAACUUCCCGUCGCUGGUCCUCCGUGCUCAGUCUCUCCGCUCAGUCCUCUCUCUCUCUCGCUCAGCGGCUCAGUUGUUGUCGCUCUCUCUCUCUCUUAUACAUAUCACUUUGUCUCAGCGGCUCAGAACCAGAUCGGAACUGGCGGCUUCAGCUUCUUCAUCGCUCAGUAGCUCUUGCUCUCUCUUUCUCUCUGCGCGCGCGGCUGCUCUGAAGACUGAAACCAGAUCUUUCCGAACCAAAAGAAAACCCCCAAAACCUUCUCUCUCAGCCUCUCUCACAUCUAGCCCUAAAUCGCUCUUCGUUGGUAUGAAAUUUCAACCCUUUCAAACUUUAAUUGAUACGUUUGAUUUGCAAUUCGCAGUUUUCAACGGAGGAAGAUGAACAAAAUCUCGACAAUUAAUUCUUCCUGUUCUAAUUUUCUCUCCUGGGCCAUUUGAUUAUAUGGCUUUGAAAGUGGGUAUCUUGGUUUUGCAUCAUGGAUUGAGAUAAGCAUACAAAAUCAGCACUGUCUGGGACAAAAUAUGGCUUGAAGCAGACACGUGGAAAGUUUGGUCUAGGUGCAAAGAUGGCAUUAAUUUGGUCGAAGAUGAGUACAGGGCUUCCUAUAGAUAUCUCUUCAUCAAUGAAGGGCCAAAGUUAUAAUUCUUUCUGCAGACUGGAUAUAGAUAUUCAUCGGAACAUUCCUCAUGUUCAUAUACAUGAAAAACGGGAAAACAAGGAUAGGUGGCAUGGUGCUGAAAUCCAAGUUGUUAUUGAGGGAAAUUGGACAACUUACCGUGUAAAGUGACUCAGUCACCAGCUCGAUUAUCCUCUAUGUAUUCUGUGAAGUGCAGUUGUUGGUUUGAUAUCCACAUGAACAUUGAUAAAUUCCCUCUGGUGAAAUAUCCUGUGCUGGUAAUACAUAGAAAUUGUUUUUGCAGGGUUAUGUGAACAAUUUGAUGCAAGGGAGAAGUAACAGCAGUCAAUGGAGGAGUUUGUGUAAAUUGUUCAGCAGCAUUGGGAGUCAGUACAAAUCGUCUCGGACAGGAAAUCUGUGGCUAAAGACCAAUAGAUUCUCUCAAGUUGUUUUGGAUAUGACUAUCUGACUAUCAUGAGGCUGGGUCAGAUCUGACACUUACAAGUGAGGUAUUUGAGCAAUUAUGGUUCCAGGUAGUGGUAAACAAUUCUGGUGUGGAAGAAAACAAGGAAAAGACAAUGGUUAUCUAAAGGUUGACUUGUACGAGAAUUCUGUUAUAUAAAGUUGGGUUACUGCAUAUUUACCUUGCUAGCAAUCUAAUUUCAUGGAUACUGCCGCGAAUGCUGGUCUACCCGUUCGGAGAUUCAAGUUUAUAUAAGCAGUUCCGGAUGCAACUAGUGACCAUGAAAUUCGGAGGGAAUCUGUAGGAGAAGAAGGGAAUCCAGAUUCAAGCUGUGAUGAUAGAGCAAUGGACUGAGUUUCAAUAUGUUCAUAUUCUGAUAGUGCAAUAUUGGAAUUUUUGUUAAGUGUUACUCUUGGUUGUCUUCAUUAGGUGCUUGGUUUUGGGCAUAACUUUGUAUUUCUUCUAAUUACAUAUUUGGAUGAAUGCAGCAACUUAAUUACAUUGCUAUGAAAUAGAUGAGUUAAUCAACAAUA